AACCCGAGCGUUAUCCGGAUUUAUUGGGCGUAAAGGGUCCGUAGCCGGUCUUGUAAGUCUUUGGUUAAAUGCCAGAAGCUCAACUUUUGGAAUGCCAGGGNAAACUGCAGGACUUGAGGGUGUUAGGGGCUGAUGGAACGCACGGUGGAGGGGUGAAAUCCGUUGAUAUCGUGCGGAACACCAAAAGCGAAAGCAUUCAGCUGGGGCAACCCUGACGGUGAGGGACGAAAGCGUGGGGAGCAAAAAGGAUUAGAUACCCUUGUAGUCCACGCUGUAAACUAUGGAUGCUAGCUAUGUGAAGUGUCGACCCUUCACGUGGCGAAGCUAACGCGUUAAGCAUCCCGCCUGGGAAGUACGGUCGCAAGACUAAAACUUAAAGGAAUAGACGGGGACCCACACAAGCGGUGGAUCAUGUUUGCUCAAUUCGUCAACAAGCGAAGAACCUUACCANGGCUUGAAAUGCCAGUUGAACCCCUAUGGAAACAUGGGGCUUCCCCACAANGACACUGGCACANGUUUUUGCACNGCCGUCGUCAGCAUGUAUCGUUGAGACCUCCGUUCAAUC
rnacentral:rRNA from 1 species